GGGAAUCUAGGGAGGCCACUCUCUAAGGCUAAAUACUCGUUAUGUCCGAUAGUGAACUAGUACCGUGAGGGAAAGGUGAAAAGAAGGGUUAAACACCCUGUGAAAUAGUACCUGAAAUUAUUUGCUAACAAACAGAGAGAGCCUGUCCGUAGGACAGAAAUUUUCAAUUUUCAGUUAUCAAUUUUCAAUCAAUUUUCAAUGAUUCAAUUAUCAAACAAUAAAAUCGAAAUGUUUGUAAAUUGUAAAUUGGAAUUUAUUUGUAAAUUGUAAAUUGUGAAUUGGAAAUUUCCGCCCUGCGGGCGGAGUGAUCUCGUGCCUAUUGAAGAAUGAUCCGGCGAGUUUUUGUAACGCUGCAAGUCUAACCCCGCUUCGCGGGGGAAGGCGUAGGGAAACCAAGUCUGAAUAGGGCGAAAAUAAAGCAGCAUGCAAAAGACCCGAAACCAGGUGAGCUAACCAUGAGCAGGUUGAGUCCCGAUGAAAAUCGGGAGGAGGACCGCACUCUUUAGAGCUACAAAUCUAUGAGAUGACUUGUGGUUAGAGGUAAUAUGCCAAUCGAACCUGGAGAUAGCUGGCUCUCCCCGAAGUAUAUAGAGGUAUAGCCUUGUGCCAGAUGUUGUUGGAGGUAGAGCACUGGAUGGGCCAAGCAUCGCAAGGUGCGUGGUUCAAUCAAACUCCGAAUUCCAACGUACAGUUACACAGGAGUCAGAACGGUGCGGCUAAGCGCAUCGCUCGAAAGGGAAACAACCCAGAUUGUCGUCUAAGGUCUCUAAAUGAAUGCUAAGUGUAUAACGCAGUUAAUUUCCCCAUACAGCUAGGAGGUUGGCUCAGAAGCAGCCAUCCUUUAAAGAAAGCGUAACAGCUCACUAGUCUAUUAAUGGGAAAUUGGCGCGGAAAACUUACCGAGGCUGUAAGCAUUCUACCGAAGACACAGAUUUGGAAUUGCAUUCGUGCAAUUCCAAGUGGUAGGGGAGCGUUGAAGUUGCAGUGAAGGUCUGGUGUAAACCGGGCUGGAGCGGCUUCAAGUGAGAAUGCCGGAAUGAGUAGCGUAACUGUGGUGAGAAUCCAUAGCACCGAAUGCCCAAGGGUUUCCCGGCCAUGUUGUUCAUCCGGGAGUUAGUCGGCACCUAAGGCGAGGCCACAGAAGGCGUAGUCGAUGGACGAGCCGUAAAUAUUCGGCUACAUGGAACAUAUCGUUAUCAACUAGGGAUGGACCGAACGAGAAUAACCAAGCGCACGCAGUGAAUGUGGCGUUUAAGCAGUAAAAAAGUCUGAUCUAGGAAAAUCCGGAUUAGGCGUUAUAACUUGAGCUGUGACGAAAAGUUUUUGGAGCAAUUUGAAGACAAUUUGGUGAUUUUUUGUUUGCCAGAAAAGAUUCGUAGUGAGAUAUGUUUUAUGCCGUACCGCAAACCGACACAGGUGGGCUGGUCGAGAAGACCAAGGUGAUCGAGAGAAGGUAGUUCAAGGAACUCGGCAAAAUAGCUGGACGUAAUUUCGAAAGAUGUCCUACCCGCAUAGCCGCAAGGCGACGUGGGUCCCAGCAAAAGAUUGUCCUGCGACUGUUUAACUAAAACACAGGUCUGUGCAAACGCGAAAGCGAAAGUAUACAGGCUGAAGCCUGCCCAGUGCUCGUAAGUUAAGUGAAUGGGUGAGAUUACAUCAAGCUCUGAAAUGAAGCUCGAGUGAACGGCAGCAGUAACUAUGAGUCCAAUAAAAGGACCAGUUGUAGUUAUAAAAGUCGACUAUAUGCUGGAACAUCCGUACCGUACAAACGGUUGUAGUAUCUGUCGCUAGUCUGAUAUAUAAUCAGACUGACAAUGCGCACAGUGCGGAAAAUCAGCAGGAAAGACUUGAAUCAGAUACAUCUUGGAUUUUUCUUGGCAGGAUUUGUCGAAGGAGAAGGAAGUUUCAAUAUCUCUUUGCGCCGCAAAGCUGACUACAUUGUUAGUUGGCAAGUGGUAAUGAGUUUUAAUGUUUCACAAAAAGAUCCUACAAUACUCAAAAUAUUGCAGAAUCAAUUAAAUUGUGGAAUUAUAAAAACACGAAAGAAAGAUAAUUUACAUUCCUUUGAUGUCACAAAUCCGCAAGAUAUAAUUCAAAAAGUAAUUCCAUAUUUUCAAAAAUACCCAGUACUUUCCGAUUCAAAAAGAAGAAACUUUGCAAUAUUUUGUAAAGUUGCAUCACUUAUGAACAAAGGAGAGCAUAAAAAUAAAUUGGGAUUAAGAAAAAUUCUCGAACUUCGAGAAAUAAUUAACGAAGGGAAGGGAAGAACUAGAAAAUAUUCAAUUACAGAUGUGUUUCCUGAUUAUUAAGAAUCCUCAGAGACUAUACGUCGACUCCCGAUUUAAUCGGGAAUGAUAUAGUCCGAUCUUGCAAGCGAUUGCAAGCGCCGUACCCAAUCGGCCAAGUAACAAAAAUGAACUGUUCUAUGGUGAAUAACACUGCCAUAGUGAGGUAAAAACCUCCGUCAAGUGUCCCGAUAGCCGUCGGGAUGGAGAUGAAAAUUCUGCUAUAUGCUGGAAUAACUGAGCAUCUAGUGAUACUAUAUUGUUAUGGAUGAUUUAGGUGGCGGACCAGACAAUUAGUAAUAAUUCAACUAGUGCAGUCAAUCAGCAGGAAAGAUCCUGAGAGUAAUCAAAGGAAAUCCUCAGAGACUAUAUGCAGAAUCCUGAGAGUAAUCGAAGGAAAGAUAUAGUCCGAUCUCCGAUGCGAAUCGGAGUUAACACAAAUAAGCGAAAUUCCUUGCCAGGUAAGUUCUGGCCCGCACGAACGGCUCAACGACAGGACAACUGUCUCGAACUAUCACUCGGCGAAUUUGAAAUGGCUGUGAAGAUGCGGCCUACCCCUACUAGGACAAAAAGACCCUAUGGAGCUUUACUGUAUCCAGGCCCUGUUUUGGAUAUUUUGAUAUUGAGUGUAGGAGGGAGCCUUCGGGCAACAAUGAAACACCUCUUUUUAAGAUAUUUCAAGACUCACCCAUGGAGGCUAAAAUCGCCUUCGGAGACAAGGUCUGGUGGGCAGUUUUACUGGGGAGGUGUCCUGCUAAAUUGUAACGCAGGAGUACCAAGGUGCACUAGGCGCGGAUGGAAAUCGCGCGAGUCGUGUAACGGCAUAAGUGCGCUUAACUGUGAGAGUGACAACUCGAUCAGAUGCGAAAGCAGGUCGUAAUGAUCCCCCGCAGCGCAGUGGUUGUGCUCGGGGCUUAUCGGAUAAAAGCUACCCUAGGGAUAACAGGCUGAUCGCUCCCAAGCGUCCACAGCGACGGGGCGGUUUGGCACCUCGAUGUCGGCUCAUCGCAUCCUGGGGGGGCAGCACCUCCCAAGGGUCCGUCUGUUCGCCGGUUAAAGCGGUACGUGAGCUGGGUUCAGAGCGUCGUGAGACAGCUGAGUCUGAUAACAUAUCAGACUGACAUACGAACUGUCUCUCAUUCAGCGCUCAAUUAUUUUUACAUCAAGGCUUGUUAUU
rnacentral:rRNA from 1 species